CGGAGCAUGCCUAUUUACAAAAACAAAGUCAUUCGCGGAUUGUGCAUGAAACAUUUCAUCGUUGUCAGAGUUGUUUUAAGCACUCUAGUACUUCUUUUCUACUGUCAUUUCAUCUGUGUACGUGCGUAUCUGACAUCGGCUGUCAAACGAUAUUGUGUUAUUGUGGAACAAACGUGGUGCUUUCCAAUAAAAGUUCAAUUCUGAAAAUUUCAGGAUUUUGGACACUUUUCCGACUUAUUUUCUUCAAAAUUUUUGGUUAACUAAACGCAGAAAAGCAUUGGCCAAAUGAAUUCAAUGCGAAGUUUAAUUUUCAAGUGUCGUUCCUGGGGUUUUUUGAUUUGUUCUUUUCUUGGGAAAGUUGAUUAUUAUGACUAUGAGGAAAAUAUUAUGCGGUUCAAGGUACUAAACACCUGCCACCUUCACGACUGGUCACCAACUAUAGCGCAAUACACGGUUUGAAGAACUUUUACAACCAUGUAUGCAGCUGGCUUACAGUACGUGCUCAAUUUUGAGAACUGGCUCACCAUCUCUACGGAUACCUGAGACCAGACUCGAUUUUGCAAACCUCGUUGCGUAAACUUCUACUAAACUUCAACUAUUUUGUUCCGGAACUUCAACUUUAACAACUUUUGCCAACUCUGGGCUUAAAAUUGGGUCCUGCCUGCUGCAGUUUUGACCCGGAGUCCUGGAUGCACCCAACUACGUUAGCAUGGAGCUGUAAUGUACAGUAUUGGACGACGUAGCACUCUAAAAGAAUUGUUUACAGAGGAAACUAUUAGGCCGAUAACAUCGCACCUUACUCCAACAACGCGCGCUCCUUCAACUUCUUUAA